rnacentral:rRNA from 1 species
UACGAAGGGUGCUAGCGUUGUUCGGAUUUACUGGGCGUAAAGCGCACGUAGGCGGGUUUUUAAGUCAGGGGUGAAAUCCUGGAGCUCAACUCCAGAAUUGCCUUUGAUACUGGCAACCUAGAGGCUGGAAGAGGUUAGUGGAAUUCCCAGUGUAGAGGUGAAAUUCGUAGAUAUUGGGAAGAACACCAGUGGCGAAGGCGGCUAACUGGUCCAGAUCUGACGCUGAGGUGCGAAAGCGUGGGGAGCAAACAGG